rnacentral:rRNA from 1 species
UGGAUCCAGACUUUGAUUCUGGCUCAGGAUGAACGCUAGCUACAGGCUUAACACAUGCAAGUCGAGGGGAAACGAUAGAGAAAGCUUGCUUUCCCUAGGCGUCGACCGGCGCACGGGUGAGUAACGCGUAUCCAACCUGCCCAUCGCUUGGGGAUAACCUUGCGAAAGUAAGACUAAUACCCAAUGACGUCCAUAGAAGACAUCUGAAAUGGAUUAAAGAUUUAUCGGUGAUGGAUGGGGAUGCGUCUGAUUAGCUUGUUGGCGGGGUAACGGCCCACCAAGGCGACGAUCAGUAGGGGUUCUGAGAGGAAGGUCCCCCACAUUGGAACUGAGACACGGUCCAAACUCCUACGGGAGGCAGCUGUGAGGAAUAUUGGUCAAUGGGCGAGAGCCUGAACCAGCCAAGUAGCGUGCAGGAUGACGGCCCUAUGGGUUGUAAACUGCUUUUAUAAGGGAAUAAAGUGAGUCUCGUGAGACUUUUUGCAUGUACCUUAUGAAUAAGGACCGGCUAAUUCCGUGCCAGCGGCCGCGGUAAUACGGAAGGUCCGGGCGUUAUCCGGAUUUAUUGGGUUUAAAGGGAGCGUAGGCCGGAGAUUAAGCGUGUUGUGAAAUGUAGAUGCUCAACGUCUGCACUGCAGCGCGAACUGGUUUCCUUGAGUACGCACAAAGUGGGCGGAAUUCGUGGUGUAGCGGUGAAAUGCUUAGAUAUCACGAAGAACUCCGAUUGCGAAGGCAGCUCACUGGAGCGCAACUGACGCUGAAGCUCGAAAGCGCGGGUAUCGAACAGGAUUAGAUACCCUGGUAGUCCGCACGGUAAACGAUGGAUGCCCGCUGUUGGUCUGAAUAGGUCAGCGGCCAAGCGAAAGCAUUAAGCAUCCCACCUGGGGAGUACGUCGGCAACGAUGCAACUCAAAGGAAUUGACGGA